rnacentral:tRNA from 1 species
GUAGCUCAGUGGGAGAGCACUCACCUAGCAUGUGAGAGGCAUUGGGUUCGAGUCUCAGC